rfam:Ailuropoda melanoleuca scaffold240_54, whole genome shotgun sequence.
GCCUGGCUGGCUCAGUCAGUGGAGCGUGUGACUCUUGAUCUCGGGGUUGUGGGUUCAAGCCCCAGGUUGGGCA